AUUAGUAUACCUUAUUUAAAGGACUAUCUUGAUGAGAUAAAAAUGGGCCUGUCUCUAUUAGUG
rnacentral:tRNA from 1 species